rnacentral:tRNA from 1 species
GAAGUAGUGGCUGAGUGGUUAAAGCGGUUGAUUGUAAAUCAAUUGGGAUACCGUCGUUGGUUCGAAUCCAACCUGCUUCA